ACAUGAAUACGCCCUUUUGAUGUUGCGCCUUGCUAGCUUCGCACAGAAGCGAAAGACGAUAGAUACUGAGGCAUACUGUCUCCCUUCACACGCAGAGACGCGCUGCAGGAGGGGGGUGGCGCGCCUCCGCGUUGCCGUGUCUUCCUUUUACCGCCACCACACACAAAACGAUGGUGUUUCCUCAUCAUAUGUUUCAGCUGGACGACGUGUCUGUCGCCUCUCUGAGGGCUGCCGUCGCGGGGAAUUCAAGGAAGCUGGAGCGACUGGAAGCACGUCUGUCACGCAGCCGUGAGCAGGCUGCGCGUCGCUCAGCUCUAGAGAAACGGAUCGCGAUGCUCCACGCAGGAAUCGCGGUGCUGCGGGAGGUGGCGUGGCCAGGGGCCUCACUAUCUCUGUCGGAGAAGGCGAUGGCGCCAUCAGAUCCCAGCUUUCCGGCCUUCUCAUUCACGUCUCCGGCGCGCACAGUCUUGCGCCACACGUCGUCUGGGAUAUCGGGUGCGUGGCCGCGGAGCAACUCCCCGGCAGUCAGCAUGUCGUCGGCCCAGGACGAGUUCGACGAGACCACUCUCCACCCCGAUUCUCUACCGGUGCCUGCGACAUGGAGGCAGAAGACCUCGGUCUUCCGGUACUGCGGACCUUCUGUGGCGGGCACAGUCUCCUCCGUGAUUGAUGAGGGGGUGGCGUACCGCAUCAUGACGGAUGGGGGCGGCUGGGCCUUCUACAACGACACUCGAUACUACACGGUGCACGUGAGAUACCGCAUUGCGGCCGGGUCGACGGUGACGCCAGGACACUCCGUAACGGCAGACGGCAAAGGGGCGCAGCAGGAGCUGUCGAUGGAACUGGGGCCGGAGGAGACCAAGGUGCUGCUCACGGGCCGCGUGGUGGGCUUUGAGAACCUCUGCAAGGCGACGCUGCUUCCGAGGCGUCCAGCGACGACCCAAGAGGAUCAGGCACUGUGCGCAGAGCCGCAGCAGCACUGGAGCGUUCUCGCCACCUCGUGCCCGGAUGUCGCGUUGCCGGACCGCCGUAGCGUGUCGACGACGCACCUCGUCGCCCGAUGCGUGGCGAAGCAGAUUCGGUAUGUCGACCUGCAUUUCUUCCCCAGCCACGCCUCCCUCUACCGCGACGGCCAGGACAGCUUUUAUAUACCUCCUCUGCACUGGCGCCUGCCUGCGAGCUACCUCCCCGGGGACGACGGCGUCCGUCGCGAGGUGCGUCUCUUUCGCGGCCCCAUCCUUCACCCCGACGGUUUGCGCUCUGGGCACCUGCUCCCCAACCACCUGCUGCUCUCUGUCGCAAUCGGGCUUACGUGCCUCUGGCCGCAGGCGCUGCGCCGCCUCUUCAUUCACCCGCAGGGGGCACAGGAGGGCAAGCGCGACCGGGCUGUCGGGGCCUAUCACGUGAGGCUGUGCACAGGGGGCUGGUGGCGGCUCUGUGUCUUGGACGAGUUCCUUCCUGCGUCUGCACAGUGCCCCGAGUUCAGCCACUGUGCUGACGACCUGCAGGUGCUGUGGCUGCCUUUGCUGGAGAAGGCGUGCGCAAAGUCGCUCGGCUCCUACGCUGCAAUGCUGGAGGUGCCGCUGGAAUACUUCGUCCGCGCGUUCACCGGAGGGCCUUGCGAAGUGCUGCGCGAGAUCUGGCCAGCACACGAGGACUUGCGCGACUCUACCGUCAAGGCAGCUCGUUUCUUCGCGCUCAUGAAGAGGCUGCUGCGGCAACGACCGACGGACAUGCCGAGCUUGGUGUGUUGGCUGCAACCCUACUUUCGCGGCACCGCCCGCACACAGGAGAUAGGCGAUCGGCUGGUGGUGCUGUACGAGGAUAUCGGACUCGACCCUAAUGUCGCCACCGUGGUGCUAGGGCUUGAGACGCUCGGCGAUGGGCAGUGCGUCGCGCGUCUGCGUCAGACGGCCGAGAAGAAGAGGUCGGCGGAGUGGUGGCUUGACCUUUGGCGCCGCGCCGGAAAGUCGUGGGUGGACGAGGUGAGCGAUCUCGUGUUCGCCAUGGAGGAGACGGCGGGGGGCACGUUGUGGAUGGCGCUGGAGGACUUACCGCUGUACUUCCAAGGCGGUUGUGUGGCACCACUGACGAGCGACUGGGGUACGGUGAAGGUGCAGGGUGAGUUUACGCAGCGCCAGCCGUCUGUGGUGCUGGAGGUGACAGUGACAGCACCGACGUGCUUCUUGGCGAGCGUUACGCAGAGGGACUUCGAUGAUGCUGGUUUGCCGACGCAAGCAGUGAAGGUUGGCAGUACCUCAAUCGGUGCAAGCCAAACAUUAGCGGGGCUGAGCUGCCUGCUGUACUCCAAGGGAAGCGGCGGCAGCACUCACUUUUGUGGCAGCAGCGGCGACACCCCUGAUGUUUUUGAGGUUGCCCAAUACCCGCAUUUUGCGUACGAGCGAGAGGUGACUGCCGGGCAUCUGCUAGACCCGCGUCAGGGCCCCUACUAUGUUGCGCCGUUUGUGCACUCCAUUUCCUCGGAUGUGGCGUACACCAUAACAGCCCAACUAAUCGGGGCCGAAUCGGUGUCCUCUGCGACUUCACUGGUAGCUCGUGAGAGCAGCACGGCGACAGUGCGCUUCAUGACGGCGAAACCAGGGACCGCUCUCUUUCAGAAUCUUACUCAGCCGAUCCUCCUUGAGUCCUCGAUGGAGGUGAGCGCGACAGCCAUGCACUACCAAAGUCACUCACCAAGGCAACUGCGCAUGCACUGCGGCUCGGGAGUGGCCGUCGACUUCGUGCUCAGCGGCUGCGAUGUGCCACCGCCAAUAACAGCAGCAGGCACCGAAUGACGGCACGCGUGGGCACGUCGACGAGCAUGCGCAGAGCAAAGACAUUCCUUAGCCCCGAUCAGGUGCUCACGUGUUUCACCUCGUUACGGUCGAUGUAGAGUAAAGAGUCUGUGCCGCUCGCUCGCAAGGAAUGCUGUGUGCGAGCGUCUUGCGUGCUUUCUUUCUUUCCUGGAUAUUGGAUGAUGAUGAUGUAUCGUGUGGCCGUUAUGCGCUCAUGUAUUCCUUUCUAUUGUCGUUAUAUAUAUUUUUUUUUCGCCACCAUCACCACCCCGCUCUCCUCAUCUGCCGUUAUUUGCUUGCUCGCGCAUGCUCUUUGCACGUCACGCGGUACGCGUGUCUCUCGGCCGACGUGGUGUUGUACAACUUCAUUGGCGUGCAGCGCUGUCUUGUGAGUGUCUGUGUAUAUGUGUAUGCGUAUGCAUGUGUGCGUGCGCGUUUUGCUUUGUUGCUGUCUCCUUUCGUCUGCUGUGUCACUGGUCUGCACAAGGACACGACUGCACGAAAAGGGUUCAGACACGCACACACACACACACACACACACACACCUGAUCACGCCCACGCGUAGCUGCGACGUGUAGAGUAGCGGGCAGUGUCUUACCCCCCCCCCCCCGACGGCAAUACAUUACCCGCACCAGAUCGGCUCGUACCAUUCUUACAUGAGGCACGAAGAACGCUUGGGGUUCUCCUGCAUCAUUUCUAAGACCUCCCGCAACAGCCGUGCAGGCAACUAAC
rnacentral:misc_RNA from 1 species